rnacentral:rRNA from 1 species
GAUGAACGCUGGCGGCGUGCCUAAUACAUGCAAGUCGAGCGAACGGACGAGAAGCUUGCUUCUCUGAUGUUAGCGGCGGACGGGUGAGUAACGCGUGGAUAACCUACCUAUAAGACUGGGAUAACUUCGGGAAACCGGAGCUAAUACCGGAUAAUAUUUUGAACCGCAUGGUUCAAAAGUGAAAGACGGUCUUGCUGUCACUUAUAGAUGGAUCCGCGCUGCAUUAGCUAGUUGGUAAGGUAACGGCUUACCAAGGCAACGAUGCAUAGCCGACCUGAGAGGGUGAUCGGCCACACUGGAACUGAGACACGGUCCAUGCUCCUACGGGAGGCAGCAGUAGGGAAUCUUCCGCAAUGGGCGAAAGCCUGACGGAACGAGCCGGCGUGAGUGAUGGAGGUCUUCGGAUCGUAAAGCUCUGUUAUUAGGGAAGAACAUAUGUGUAAGUAACUGUAGACAUCUUGACGGUACCUAAACAGAAAGCCACGGCUAACUACGUG